UACGAGGGGGGCAAAUGUUGUUCGGAAUCACUGGGCGUAAAGGGAGCGUAGGCGGGUUUCUAAGUCAGGUGUUUAAUCCCGGGGCCCAACCCCGGACAGGCACUUGAAACUGGGAAUCUUGAAUAGGGGAGAGGUCAGUGGAAUUGGAGGUGUAGCGGUGGAAUGCGUAGAGAUCUCCAAGAACACCAGUGGCGAAGGCGGCUCACUGGCCCGAUACUGACGCUGAGGCACGAAAGCGUGGGGAGCAAACAGG
rnacentral:rRNA from 1 species